AGUGUUGAGUGUUUGAACUAUAUUAACAUCUAUGAAAUCGGAGAAGAGACUGUGCGACCAUUCGACCAUUCGACCACGCAAGGUGAGCUGCACCAUCAAGUUUACAAGGCACCAAAAGUCUUCUGGUGGUGUUCUGCAGUUUGUUGCAGCUUCCAAGGACUUGGGCUGAUUGGAUGCCUUGCCGAGGCAAGACCGUGUGAUGUUUGGAUGAUAUAAAUAGGAUUCCACAGAGUGAUGGUACAGG
rnacentral:lncRNA from 1 species